CCUACGGGUGGCAGCAGUGGGGAAUUUUCCGCAAUGGGCGAAAGCCUGACGGAGCAACGCCGCGUGAGGGAGGAAGGUCUUUGGAUUGUAAACCUCUUUUCUCAAGGAAGAAGUUCUGACGGUACUUGAGGAAUCAGCCUCGGCUAACUCCGUGCCAGCAGCCGCGGUAAUACGGGGGAGGCAAGCGUUAUCCGGAAUUAUUGGGCGUAAAGCGUCCGCAGGUGGUCAGCCAAGUCUGCCGUCAAAUCAGGUUGCUUAACGACCUAAAGGCGGUGGAAACUGGCAGACUAGAGAGCAGUAGGGGUAGCAGGAAUUCCCAGUGUAGCGGUGAAAUGCGUAGAGAUUGGGAAGAACAUCGGUGGCGAAAGCGUGCUACUGGGCUGUAUCUGACACUCAGGGACGAAAGCUAGGGGAGCGAAAGGGAUUAGAUACCCUUGUAGUC
rnacentral:rRNA from 1 species